ensembl:lncRNA
CUCAGUCUUGACAUGUUCAUCCAGUUCAUCCAUGUUCAUCCCUGCAGUGGCCCUGACUCAGUCUAGGGCUUCAGCCCUGCUUACCAAGAUUCUAGGCUUCUUGUGGCCUGUGGUCUGCAACUCAGCUGGUCUGGAGGGCAGGAAGGAAGGGUGGAUCCUCUUGAGAUUUCCUGUCUUGCUGUGAGUCACUGAUACCAAGCACUUUUCUUGCAGUUCUCUGCCUACUAUCCGGAGAGCGGGAAUGCAGCCGCAGAAGUCAAACCGGAACCAUCCUCUGCGUCAUGAUAACGACUCUCGCUGCAGUAAACAAACAUGGUCUGCACCGCUUCAGGGGGCUCUCCCUCCCUGUGCAAGCAAGGAACUGAAGGAAAGGCUUGCCAUUUCAUUAUCUUUUGUAAGAAGAGAAUGACGACAGGAGAAAAAAAAUCCUCCGGUAUCAUUUUGGUGCAGUGGAAAGAAGACUCAUAUUGGAGAAGGAAUGCAAAAUUUCUAAUUCUGACUUGCCUGGGAAAGACUGUAAGCCUGUGUCACACCUACUUCCCUUCCAUUCCCUUCUUGCCUCAUUACAUACAAUCUGAAGUUGAACAUGGGGUUUUGAGAUUCUUGAGAAUCAUCCAGAUGUACAUUCCAGCAGAUAUAGAAUUCCUUUCCUUUAUUAUCCACAUCUGCUUUAUGUAAUCCAGCCCUCUAGCACCGAGAGAAGCAACCGUCUACUCAUAAUUUGCACAUUUCUACUCGGCUGAAUACCGUCCUUCCUGGUUUUUGUAAGAAUGUUCCUACUAUAAUUCUCUUGAGUAUUAAAAGCAUGUGUAAGCCAAGAGACAUAGUAUGCAAAUAUUCCUUAAGGAAAAAAAAAAAACAAAUCUAAUAACACAAGACAGCUCCUUGCUAUGGGGCACUGCCACCGUCAACACCCUCAUUCCCAAAGCUUCACCUGUCAUCUCAUAGUACUCUAGCUGGUUCUUAUCUAUCUACCAUUCAACAGGAUUUCCAUGUCCUGGGGGCAGGAAUCCAGCAAUACAUCUUUUGCAUCCUUUCUAGUGUCUAAGGAAGUACUGAGCAUCCCGUAGAUAUCCAAUAAACAAUUGUUGAGUCAUGGUGAAUUGAAUUAA